rnacentral:rRNA from 1 species
GACGAACGCUGGCGGCGUGCCUAAUACAUGCAAGUCGAACGCUUCUUUCCUCCCGAGUGCUUGCACUCAAUUGGAAAGAGGAGUGGCGGACGGGUGAGUAACACGUGGGUAACCUACCCAUCAGAGGGGGAUAACACUUGGAAACAGGUGCUAAUACCGCAUAACAGUUUAUGCCGCAUGGCAUAAGAGUGCAAGGCGCUUUCGGGUGUCGCUGAUGGAUGGACCCGCGGUGCAUUAGCUAGUUGGUGAGGUAACGGCUCACCAAGGCCACGAUGCAUAGCCGACCUGAGGGCGUGCUCGGCCACGCUGGGACUGAGACAGGGCCCAGAGUCCUAAGGGAGGCAGAGGUAGGGAAUCUUCGGCAAGGGACGAAAGUCUGACCGAGCAACGCCGGGUGAGUGAAGAAGGUUUUCGGAUCGUAAAACUCUGUUGUUAGAGAAGAACAAGGACGUUAGUAACUGAACGUCCCCUGACGGUAUCUAACCAGAAAGACACGGCUAACUACGU